rnacentral:lncRNA from 1 species
AGCGAGUAGGCGACGCCGCUGCAACUGUGGCGCGUCCGAUCUCCGGGCCGUGCGUGGCCUCACUGCCGGGAACCGCGCCCCAGUUAUUUUCUCCAGAAAGAAGAAAACAUUGAUACCUUGCAUCCUGGAAGUUCAUUUAGGAAUCUGAAAUCAGGGACUUCUUUAUAAUUUGGACAUGGCUAAUCGAGGAGCAACAAGACCCAACGGGCCAAAUACUGGAAAUAAAAUAUGCCAGUUCAAACUGGUACUUCUAGGAGAGUCUGCUGUUGGCAAAUCAAGUCUGGUGCUUCGCUUUGUGAAAGGCCAAUUUCAUGAGUUUCAAGAGAGUACCAUUGGGGCUGCCUUUCUAACCCAAACUGUGUGUCUUGAUGACACAACAGUAAAAUUUGAAAUAUGGGAUACAGCUGGCCAAGAACGGUAUCAUAGCCUAGCACCAAUGUACUACCGAGGAGCACAAGCCGCCAUAGUUGUGUAUGAUAUUACAAAUGAGGAGUCC